GGGCGUGUAGCUCAGUGGUAGAGCGCCCGCUUUGCAUCUCGAAGCCUGCGGGAGGUCUAGGGUUCGAUCCCCUACCCGUCCA